AUGGUUGGCGAUGACCUACCACCCCAAGCAGAAGUUGUUGCCCUCUACAAGACAAAUAACAUCCCAAGAAUGCGACUUUAUGAUCCAAACCCAGCCGCUCUAGAAGCCCUUCGAGGCUCCAAUAUCAAGCUCUUGCUAGGCGUACCAAAUGAAAACCUUCAAUACAUUGCCUUAAGCCAAGCCAACGCAAAUGCAUGGGUCCAAAACAAUGUGAGAAACUAUGCCAAUGUGAAAUUCAAGUACAUUGCGGUAGGAAAUGAAGUCAAGCCUUCAGACUCCUUUGCACAGUUUCUCGUCCCAGCCAUGCGAAAUAUUCAAGAGGCAAUUUCUCUUGCUGGUCUUGCAAAGAAAAUUAAAGUUUCGACAGCCAUCGACACCGGAGUACUUGGAGAGACCUUUCCUCCUUCGAUAGGCUCAUUCAAGUCUGAAUAUAACGCCCUUUUAUAUCCCAUCAUCCGCUUCCUAGUGAGCCACCAAUCGCCAUUGCUUGUUAACUUGUACCCUUAUUUUGCUUACAGUGGCAACACUCAAGACAUUCGUCUUGACUAUGCUCUUUUCACAGCUCCAUCAGUUGUGGUACAAGAUGGGAACUUUGGUUAUCGUAAUCUUUUCGAUGCCAUGUUAGAUGGUGUUUAUGCUGCGCUUGAGAAGGCUGGUGGAGGGUCUUUGAAAGUUGUUAUAUCAGAGACUGGUUGGCCAUCAGCUGCUGGAACAGCCACAACAAUUGAUAAUGCAAGGACUU
rnacentral:lncRNA from 1 species